UUCACUUCCUCAAGAAACAAAUUAUAUAUGAAUUUGGAAUUUACAUUCCAAUUUGAGUCCAAGUGCAUAGUGUCCUCAUAAACAAUAUCCAGAAAAUUACUUAAAAGACCUCAAAAUUGCAAACCAGAAAAUUUACAGCUAUAUCACCACCUUCUUGAAGUGUACAAAAUAUUUAAAAAUAAGGCAAAAAAAUGUUCAACAAAUUCUACACCUAUCAAAGAUGAAGAUCUUCAAUGUCAGUGAUACCAUUAAUGGACUUUUUAUCAGGUAAGUUGACCACCAGCUGACCACAGGCACCACUUAUGUCCUGACCCAUUUGCUUCCGAACUGUUGUCCGAAUGUUAUAGUCCCCUCUAAGAAUUAUCUGGAAUCUUGAUACUUUCUCCUCGCUACUGGUUCUGAAUUGACUCAAACUACCAAUUGGGUUGAAAGGUAUCAAGUUCACAACCUGAUUGGAAAGUUAGAGAGUCAAAUGCAAAGGGCAUUAUGCAAUCGAUUAGGUAACAGCUGAGUUAAUGAAGUUACAACUAAACAUACAAGCAAGAAAGUCAAAUGAAUAAUGCCAUUUACAGUUCAGCUAUCAAACAAGUCAGCACAAAUGCACAAUGGCAAUGCCAAAGAAUUCAUGGUGCCAAAAAAGGAUAAUUAUGUUUUUUAAGCGAAACGGUUAUUAUCAAAAGGAAAAAGAAAUGUGUAAUUGAAUCAAAUUAUCGAAGUUCAUAGGGUAUGAAUUAUGAUAGAAUGUUUGUAAAAUGUUGCACGACACCAAUGCAUCAUGCACUUCGUACAUGCUCAAAUUUAAAUUUAAUAGCUCACCACUUGAAAUGUCUCUAGCAAUUUACCAAGCUGAUGGGCAUGUUGCUCUUCAUCAUUUACUCCAUCAAGCAUUAUGUACUCGAUAAAAAUUUUCUGCUGACUGAAUUGAAACCAAAUAUGAGAGCAUACAUUGCAAAGAAAUGUAAGUGCAGAUAGUUAUGUACAGGAAAAUGAAUAGCCAUGUUUUACCUAUUUUUUUGAUACAAUUGCAGAGCAUCCAUAAGCUUUUCUAAAGGAAAAGCCCGAGCUGCUGGCAUUAUAUGACAGCGGAUAUCUUGAACUGGUGCAUGCAAUGAAACUGCCAAGUUCAAACCGGGAAGAUCUUUCUGAAGCUUGUUAAUAGCAUGGAUGACACCAACCUACAGAAUAUUAGUCAGUCAGUCCAAGUCAAGUAAUUCCUGCAUUCAUGAAUCCAUUUUCAAUUUUUAAAUUACUUGUUAGAGCUUCCAGAAAAAAAACAUAGACAGUCAAGUCAAAUAUAUCGAAGAAAAGCAAAAAAAGAACACUUCUACAGAACAUUUCAUCUGUUUGCUAAAAUAUCUGGUUGUGGGUACAUCCAUACAUGUAUAUCAUAAAGCUUACUCUCCCAAUAAUCUUCAAUCGCACAUCAUGAGAACAUCAAGAGAAGAAAAUGAUAAGAGUAAUGGCCCAUGCUGAUGAUAUAUCUAACAGUAGAAUGGUAGAAAUAUUGGAAUUUACCAUAUCUCAGUUACCAGGAUAAAAAAUGUAAAUUCUAAAGCCAUUUCAUAACUUACAAGAUAGUUGGGUGUGCAGAAUUUUAAUAAUACUAUUAUCCUUUACCUUUUCUUUUAAAAAAAAUAAAAAAGGUAAAAGUUAACCAAUAUCCUAGAAUGCAGAGGCAGUAAAGGGCCAAUCUUCCACAAACCACUGCAAGUAAAUUUAACAAGAAAUCCAAUAGAUUAGAAGACAGGAAUAUGAAACCUAGUCACCUAAGUAAGAAAAUUUAACAGUUGACCUAUUAGGAGACCUAAAAUAAAACCAAAAUUCAAUACAUACAUGAUGAAAAUCAUUAAAGAAAAAGUAUACACAAUGCAAUUACACAUACUGUUGACACAGUAAUUCUCUUUGGUGACAACUGAAAUGGAGGUCCCAGCAUCACGCGAAUUGCUUCCACCAGAGCAGUAUAAUUAUUCAAUGGUUCUCCCAUUCCCAUGAAAACAACAUUCCGUAUUUGGGAUAAAUAUGAUGCAUGGACUAACUGUUCAACAAUUUCUCCUGAUGAUAGAUUGUUUUUGAAUCCCAUGCUUCCAGUAGCACAAAACUUGCAACCCAUUUUACAACCAACCUGAGAUGAUAUGCACAGAGUUGACCUUAGGCCACCAGGACGGGGUUUUCCACCAUAUUUUCCCAAUCGAGUGUCAUACCUCAUAAUAACAGCCUCCACAAAAGCUCCAUUCUGAAGUUUAAUAAGAAGCUUGGUGGUGACCCCAUCAUUUGAUUCAACAAUAGAAUGAAGAGUGGAAGAGAGAGUUCUGAACUUGGAACGCAGGAGUGAGUAGGCAGCUGAGGGCAAAUUGGGUAUAUCAUCCCACUCGCAGUUAGGGUUCUUGAUCACAUACUUCCAAAUGAAAGGGAUGAAGUGGAGGCUGAUACCCACUUUCUCAAACUCUCUCCUGAGAUCCGGGGCGUCGAAAAUUGAUCCAGAGUUCAUUUUUGUGGCCAUACAGAUACAGUGAAAUAAUGGCGGUGAAGGAUGUUUUGGUGCUGGAUUGUGCUAAGAAAUCAGGACACAGCUUCUGGGUAAACGGCGGAGGCGGUCAGCGUUUUCUUAUUGGAAAUCAACUAACUAACCCAGGCCU
rnacentral:misc_RNA from 1 species